CCGGAGUGAGGACGACGGCUAAAUGAACCGCAUCGGUUCUGAGAUUAAUGAGGGAGCGCCACGCAGUGGGAGGAGAGGGACCAUUCGGCCUAUCGUGACAGUACUGUAUGAUUUUCCCUUAGCGCCGUUACCCCUAUCCCUUCAUUGAUUUAACUUUCUGAACAAAGUCUUUUUAAGCUGCCUUGAAUAUGUUCAGGUACAGAAUUCCAAAGAACCAUUAUCCACUGAAUGAAGGCACUUAGACAAGUAAUUCUUUAGAUAGAGUAAAAUCCGAUUUCACUCUUCUAAUCUCUAACGCUGACUCAAGAUUACUCAAUAACUUCUGUUUUUGUUUUAACAUGAAUUGAAGACGCUGAAGUCCUGAUCCUGUUUAGAGAUGCUGUCUGGCCUGCUGAGUCCCUCCAGCAUUUUGUGUGUGUUACAGUGUAAGAGUUCUCUACUCUGCAUGAGAAUGCCUUGGCCAGCAUUAACAAUUAUGGAUAUGAAAGACUUACUGCUUAUGAAGUCAGUCAGUGGGUUCUUAUGAAGACCCUGACCUUGAGUUACACGCUGACUACUGUUCUUUGUGGGAGUAGGACCUGCUCUUGGUGUUUCACGACUGGCCAUUUUUCGGCAAGGUUUCGGCCUAAGAGCUCAGCUCGCCUUUGGAGGACUGAGAUCUUGUCACUUUGGAUUGUUGUGUCAUGGGAGAUGGAAGAUCUAAGGCUAUGUGUCCAGAGACCUGUGAUCUUCAGGCACAGAGCUCAGAAAAAGCGAUGUAAUGGAUUUUUAACAUCACAAACCUUUCAUUGUGAUACGGAAACAUCUCUUUCUCCCUUAUUAGGGAGAGAGAGAGUCUGUGGUAUGUCGAAUACCAGGUGAACAAGUAGUCUUUGGAGUACUGCAAGCCUGUGUCUUUGUUGUUGCUUUGCUCACACUUGAGUGCUUAGUGGCAGGUGCCAAUGCUUUUUUUUAGGUGGGGG